GACGUAGGGGGCCAGCGUUGUUCGGAAUUACUGGGUGUAAAGGGUGCGUAGGCUGCGGGGUAAGUCAGGUGUGAAAUCUCGGGGCUCAACCCCGAAACUGCACUUGAUACUGCCUCGCUUGAGUACUGGAGAGGAGACUGGAAUUUACGGUGUAGCAGUGAAAUGCGUAGAUAUCGUAAGGAAGACCAGUGGCGAAGGCGAGUCUCUGGACAGUUACUGACGCUGAGGCACGAAGGCCAGGGGAGCAAACGGG
rnacentral:rRNA from 1 species